GAUGAAGAACGCAGCGAAAUGCGAUACGUAAUGUGAAUUGCAAAUUCAGUGAAUCAUCGAGUCUUUGAACGCACAUUGCGCCCCCUGGUAUUCCGGGGGGCAUGCCUGUCCGAGCGUCAUUGCUGCCCUCAAGCACGGCUUGUGUGUUGGGCCCCGUCCCCCGAUUCCGGGGGACGGGCCCGAAAGGCAGCGGCGGCACCGCGUCCGGUCCUCGAGCGUAUGGGGCUUUGUCACCCGCUCUGUAGGCCCGGCCGGCGCCUGCCGAUCAACCCAAAUUUUUAUCCAGGUUGACCUCGGAUCAGGUAGGGAUACCCGCUGAACUUAAGCAUAUCAAUAAGCGGAGGA
rnacentral:misc_RNA from 1 species